GACAGAGGGUGCAAACGUUGUUCGGAAUUACUGGGCGUAAAGCGCGUGUAGGCGGCUAAGCAAGUCGGGCGUGAAAUCCCAUGGCUCAACCAUGGAAGUGCACCCGAAACUGCAUAGCUAGAGUCCUGGAGAGGAAGGUGGAAUGCUUGGUGUAGAGGUGAAAUUCGUAGAUAUCAAGCGGAACACCGGUGGCGAAGGCGGCCUUCUGGACAGUGACUGACGCUGAGACGCGAAAGCGUGGGGAGCAAACGG
rnacentral:rRNA from 1 species